rnacentral:rRNA from 1 species
UACGUAGGGACCAAGCGUUGUUCGGAUUUACUGGGCGUAAAGCGCGCGUAGGCGGACCUGCAAGUCGGGGGUGAAAGCCCGAGGCUUAACCUCGGAACUGCCUUCGAUACUGCGGGUCUCGAGUCCGGGAGAGGCGAGUGGAAUUCCUAGUGUAGAGGUGAAAUUCGUAGAUAUUAGGAAGAACACCAGUGGCGAAGGCGGCUCACUGGCCCGGUACUGACGCUGAGGCGCGAAAGCGUGGGGAGCAAACAGG